rnacentral:rRNA from 1 species
GACGUAGGGCGCAAGCGUUGUCCGGAUUUAUUGGGCGUAAAGAGCUCGUAGGCGGCUUGUUGCGUCGGCUGUGAAAACCCGUGGCUUAACUGCGGGCUUGCAGCCGAUACGGGCGGGCUGGAGUUCGGUAGGGGAGACUGGAAUUCCUGGUGUAGCGGUGAAAUGCGCAGAUAUCAGGAAGAACACCUAUGGCGAAGGCAGCUCUCUGGGACGGUACUGACGCUGAGACGCGAAAGCGUGGGGAGCGAACAGG